GAUGAACGCUGGCGGCGUGCCUAACACAUGCAAGUCGAACGGAGUGCUCAAGAAGGAGUUUUCGGACAACGGAAUGAGUUGCUUAGUGGCGGACGGGUGAGUAACGCGUGAGUAACCUGCCUUGGAGAGGGGAAUAACACAUCGAAAGGUGUGCUAAUACCGCAUGAUGCACAGAGAUCACAUGGUCACUGUGCCAAAGAUUUAUCGCUCUGAGAUGGACUCGCGUCUGAUUAGCUAGUUGGUGAGGUAAUGGCUCACCAAGGCGACGAUCAGUAGCCGGACUGAGAGGUUGAACGGCCACAUUGGGACUGAGACACGGCCCAGACUCCUACGGGAGGCAGCAGUGGGGAAUAUUGGGCAAUGGGCGCAAGCCUGACCCAGCAACGCCGCGUGAAGGAAGAAGGCUUUCGGGUUGUAAACUUCUUUUAUUUAGGACGAAGAAAGUGACGGUACUAAAUGAAUAAGCCACGGCUAACUACGUGCCAGCCGCCGCAGUAAGAC
rnacentral:rRNA from 1 species